CGAAUAGAGGAGUCCAUAGGCUUUCCCAGGGGGUCCGUGCACUCGAUUUUCGAGAGUGUCUGGCCAAGAUAGUUUCCUUAGAGACGAUGAAAAGAAUUACCAAGAUGUCCUUGAUCCGACUGAGGAACCUACGCAUUCACACUCGAACGGAAUUGAAUGGGGGAUGCAUAACUACUUUUCACCGAAGAAGGGAACGAGUCAAUAAGUGAUGAGCCAGAGCAACCAAUCACCGUCCCUGCAGCUGUUCUACCCACCACCCACACUGCUCUCCCUCCACAAGCAUCCUCAUUCUCUUCUCCUGUUCAACUAAUUUGACACCAGACUGAAAAAGACUGUACAUACAUACAUACCUCUGUGUCCAUCUCAUUGCAACAUGAUCCAACCAAGGCCAAAGAUGGAUGCCUAAAAUGUGAGAAAUGUAAACAAGAUGCUACAGUUGUGUGUGUGUGUGUGUGUGUGUGUGUGUGUGUGUGUGUGUGUGUGUGUGUGUGUGUGUGUGUGUGUGUGUGUGUGUGUGUGUGUGUGUGUGUGUGUGUGUGUGUGUGUGUGUGUGUGUGUGUGUGUGUGUGUGUGUGUGUGUGUGUGUGUGUGUGUGUGUACGGACUUCCAAGAAAAGACAUGAGUGGAUGGCAAAUGAGAUAGCGAUGAGAGUGAGAGCAUAAGUAUAAAAAUAAAGACCCCUUGGGAUCUAAAAUGAAUAUGGGGUGUCCUCUUGUGUCUCCUUUUUUGUCCAUUUGAGGAUACUACAGCACCCCUGGUGGAGGUUCUUGGAACACUGCUAUUUAAGUCUGAGCAGAGGUUGAUGAAAACCUUCAAAGUUGGUGGUGCUACCAGACAGAUGUUUGAGAAAGGGGUUCCAAAAGGGUUCUUUGCCUGUCACGAAAGGCCAACCCUUUUUGGUUCCAAGUAGAAGUAUUUUUGGUUCCAUGAAAAACCCUCUCUGGAAUGGAGCCCGACGAAGAGGUUUUUGACCAGGUAAAUCAGAACGUCUUCGUGGACCACCUUCGGGCAUGGAAUGAGAACGACGAAGAGGUUUUUGACCAGGUAAAUCAGAACGUCUUCGUGGACCACCUUCGGGCAUGGAAUGAGAACGACGAAGAGGUUUUUGACCAGGUUAAUCAGAACGUCUUCGUGGACCACCUUCGGGCAUGGAAUGAGAAAGAUUAAGAGGUUUUUGACCAGGUAAGACUGAACAUGGACAAGGUGUACGAGAAACAGAAGGAGAGCCACCAGAGGAGAAGCAAGCAGACCAAGUGCUUCGACAUCCGGGCAAAUUACUUCUCUUGGAAGAUGGACAAAAGGAAGGCGAGACCUGGGAGGCCUUGCUGCUCUUUCGCUCCUAGCUGGGGUCACUGUUAAAACCUGUUUGGGAUAGGGGCAGUAUUGUCAACAGUCUUUAGAACCUUGUUGCAGGCUUCUACUAUUAACUUCUUCGAGAUAGGGGGCGCU